rnacentral:snoRNA from 1 species
GAACAAUGAUGACAUAUUAAAGGCUUGUUUCUCAAAACAUUCGCAGUGGCCGCCUAAGAGCUUUCGCCUUAGCCAGGCUUGAGAGCUAAUGCUGCUUCACUACUUCCUUGGAUGUCUGAGACC